UUUCUCCACAAACAAAACACUAGUGCAAUGGUAAGUCUUACUUGUUUGAUACCUUUGGUCUUGGGUUCAAAUCCCACACAAGCCAAUUUUUUGAACAAAAUUUUGCUGAAUUUUACUAAAUUAAGAAUUCAUUAAAAAAUGAUGAAAAUUUAUGGGUGUCCUACCUAAAGUGUUUAGUUUGUUUUACAAAUAUGAAAAUGACUUAUACAGUAUUUCUUUUAUGCUUCUAUUUUUUAUCUUUUAAUAUAUGUUCAAGUGAUCAUGUUUAGGCUUAUUCCAAAUUUUGUUUGAAAUUUUCAAAUGGGUAAAAUAUAAUGUUUAGGCUUAUUCAAAUGCUUCCUUCCUGCCUUGUCUCUCUGCAUGCACUAACUAUUAGACCCCCUUAGCUUGUCAUACCCCUAGCAUUACUCGCCCGAACAACUAAUGUGCGUAGCCAAUACUUACCUAGGCCUUCCCCAAACCAUAAACACCAUCAGUAACAAGAGUUACCUUCGCCUUCCCCAUACCAUAAACACCACCAAUAACAAAGGACAACUAGUCACCUUACCACAGAGGACUCUUAAUUGAGUUUCCUCUUGCUCUUUUAUCCACUAAAGCAAGAACUAGUCAUUUUUGGGUAUGGGUUCCCUAAUGCAAAUGUAGUUGCACAUAGUCUAAGCAUAUACACUAAGACACCAGUGGAAACCAACAAUCAUCACUCCUGCCCAUGACUAGCCAAAUUGUAAUGAAGGGAUGUUGCUCAAUGUCUAGGCCUAGUCAUGAUCAUGUUGUCUUUAUCUCACGAAGUUGCCUCAGUACACGAUGUUAUGUUACACCUCAACUUGUGAUGUGUACUGAAGUAAAUACACUAAAAGAAAAUUAAUAUAUGCAAAUGCACUAAGCAGAAUAUAAAUAAUAUAGACGAGCAAUGAUUUCGCCACCUACUACCUGGAGUGGUCGGGACCUUUUUUUAGACGAACAAUGAUUUUCGUGGCGCGCAACAUGUUAGUGGGAAGUAAAUAAUAAACUAGACAUGUGACGAAAUCAUUGGUUUCAAAUAACUAUAUAUUAAAUUUUAUGAAAUAAGUAAAUAUAAUUCCAUUUAAAUCUUCCCAAAUGAAAACCCCAAAAACAAAAACCCAAAUUUCAAUAAACUAUUUUCCAAAAAUAAAACAAAUUAAAACCCAAAAAAACAAAACCCAGAGCAGCUCGCACCCACCACGGCGCCAUUUCCUCUAAACAAAGGCGCCAAAAAAAUUCAGCCGCCAAAAAAUUUCCCACUCCUCAGUCCACCUCCCCAUCUAUCUCCACCUCUCUCGCCCCAUUCUCCAUCUCCUCUUCCACUUCAGACGCCCCAUUCUCCUCUAUCGCCCCACACAAACCUAGCCGCCGCCUCCGCCGGGGCACCAAGGAACCUGGCGCACGAACUCCGACGCUGACGACGACAUUUGCCGCCUUGCCCUGCCUCUCGUCACCACCUCCCCUCUCUCUGUCUCGACACCACGAAACCCUAGACACCGUGCCUGGAUCUCCACCAACGACUUGCAACGCCGACAUGAUCUGCUCUCCAAGAUUCUGCUGAUCUCCAACGACGACGACGAUGGUGCAGACAAGGGGACAAGGUAGGAAAGCACCGACAACUGAAGGUAAGCAAAAUUUCUCCAAGAACUCUGUACUGGUUCCAUUUUCAUGUCUAGAUCAUCAAAAUGUUUGUGCUAGAUGCUGGAUUGGUUGGGUGGAUUGGGACUCUACAAUGGUAGACCGAAGCAGUAACCCUAGAAUCAUAUAUCUUUAAAGAAAUUUAACAGCACAUAUGUCCCUUUUGUCGUCUUCCAUUUCCCUUUUUUCCCAAACAGCCACACUACUGCAUCUAUAUUAAUUUCCUAAAAAAAUAAUAUAUGCAAAUGCACAAAGCAGAAUAUAUAGAAAUGUAUCUACAACUUGUCCAUGUAGGUUCAGGUUAACAGGCUAUUGUCGUUGAAGAAAUGUAUGCAUUCAGUAGGC
rnacentral:lncRNA from 1 species